rnacentral:rRNA from 1 species
GACGAACGCUGGCGGCGUGCUUAACACAUGCAAGUCGAACGGAAAGGCCCUGCUUUUGUGGGGUGCUCGAGUGGCGAACGGGUGAGUAACACGUGAGUAACCUGCCCUUGACUUUGGGAUAACUUCAGGAAACUGGGGCUAAUACCGUAUAGGAGCUCCUGCUGCAUGGUGGGGGUUGGAAAGUUUCGGCGGUUGGGGAUGGACUCGCGGCUUAUCAGCUUGUUGGUGGGGUAGUGGCUUACCAAGGCUUUGACGGGUAGCCGGCCUGAGAGGGUGACCGGCCACAUUGGGACUGAGAUACGGCCCAGACGCCUACGGGAGGCAGCAGUGGGGAAUAUUGCACAAUGGGCGGAAGCCUGAUGCAGCAACGCCGCGUGCGGGAUGACGGCCUUCGGGUUGUAAACCGCUUUCGCCUGUGACGAAGCGUGAGUGACGGUAAUGGGUAAAGAAGCACCGGCUAACUACGUG